rnacentral:rRNA from 1 species
CACGUAGGGUGCGAGCGUUGUCCGGAAUUAUUGGGCGUAAAGAGCUCGUAGGCGGUGUGUCGCGUCGGCCGUGAAAACCUGCAGCUUAACUGUGGGCUUGCGGUCGAUACGGGCAUCACUGGAGUUCGGCAGGGGAGACUGGAAUUCCCGGUGUAGCGGUGAAAUGCGCAGAUAUCGGGAGGAACACCGGUGGCGAAGGCGGUUCUCUGGGCCUGUACUGACGCUGAGGAACGAAAGCGUGGGGAGCGAACAGG